GGACAGUGAUGAUUCCUUUUAUAGGUCUCGUUCGUCGUAAUUGGUCAUUUUUUGAUCUUGCCGACAAUACUGUUUUCUGAGUCC